rnacentral:rRNA from 1 species
GACGAACGCUGGCGGCGUGCUUAACACAUGCAAGUCGAACGGUGAAGCUCCAGCUUGCUGGAGUGGAUCAGUGGCGAACGGGUGAGUAACACGUGAGUAACCUGCCCCUGACUCUGGAAUAAGCGCUGGAAACGGCGUCUAAUACUGGAUACGAGAAGGGUCCGCAUGGGCACUUUCUGGAAAGUUUUUCGGUUGGGGAUGGGCUCGCGGCCUAUCAGCUUGUUGGUGAGGUAAUGGCUCACCAAGGCGACGACGGGUAGCCGGCCUGAGAGGGCGACCGGCCACACUGGGACUGAGACACGGCCCAGACUCCUACGGGAGGCAGCAGUGGGGAAUAUUGCACAAUGGGCGAAAGCCUGAUGCAGCGACGCCGCGUGAGGGAUGACGGCCUUCGGGUUGUAAACCUCUUUCAGCAGGGAAGAAGCGAAAGUGACGGUACCUGCAGAAGAAGCACCGGCUAACUACGUG